rnacentral:rRNA from 1 species
UUGCUCCCUGAUGUUAGCGGCGGACGGGUGAGUAACACGUGGGUAACCUGCCUGUAAGACUGGGAUAACUCCGGGAAACCGGGGCUAAUACCGGAUGGUUGUUUGAACCGCAUGGUUCAAACAUAAAAGGUGGCUUCGGCUACCACUUACAGAUGGACCCGCGGCGCAUUAGCUAGUUGGUGAGGUAACGGCUCACCAAGGCAACGAUGCGUAGCCGACCUGAGAGGGUGAUCGGCCACACUGGGACUGAGACACGGCCCAGACUCCUACGGGAGGCAGCAGUAGGGAAUCUUCCGCAAUGGACGAAAGUCUGACGGAGCAACGCCGCGUGAGUGAUGAAGGUUUUCGGAUCGUAAAGCUCUGUUGUUAGGGAAGAACAAGUACCGUUCGAAUAGGGCGGUACCUUGCCGGUACCUAACCAGAAAGCCACGGCUAACUACGUGCCAGCAGCCGCGGUAAUACGUAGGUGGUAAGCGUUGUCUGGUUUUUUUG